rnacentral:misc_RNA from 1 species
AGUCCACUUGUUUUUUAUUCCAAAUUCUGUCUCAGAGCUUAUGUCAUAAGCUACUAUUACGUAGCAGUUACUUAUUAAAGGUGAUGUUAAAUCUAUCUGUUUUGCAUUGCCAAUGACAGCAAGGAUUAGUUGUUAUAAUGGCUCAUGUUAUCAAUCAUCUGAAAGCAUAGGGAAUUUUUCACUCUUUAAUUAUAAUGAUGUAGACAAUUUUUAAUUGCUCAUCUUUAUUGCUACCAAAAGCCUCAUUAGUAGUUUGCAUAUAAACUGUGUAAACCUCACAUUCUUGGUUGUUUUUUCAAAAAGGUUCAAGGAAGAGAUCGCUUA